GAUUAACGUUUUAAGUUCUUUAUAUUAAAAGCAUUUAAUAUUAAUACAGCAUUCUAUGACGUCAUUAUCAUGAAUUUUUCAACAAAGGUUUUUGCUUUAUUGUUUUCCAAUUGUUGCGAUUGUUGUUGGAAUGCUUAAGUGCGCUCAAAAAGUUUCUUUGCGAAAUUCGACUGAUAAGAUGGAGAGGAAGAGUAGGAGAAGAAUGGCCAAACCGAAUGUUCGGCAAAACAAAGUUUACCCAAUUCAGGAUGACAAAGAUUUGCCUGCGACGAAAUGUGACUCCCGGAACAAAGGGGAGUCGUCGUUGCGAGCAAAUAAUCCGAAAGAAGGAGGAAGGUCUAUCGGAUAUUUCAGACGUUUAUUCCAUAGAUUCUUGUUAUGUUGUUGCUGCAUUUCGGUUGAGAUUUCUGAUUAGGAGAUUUAAGAACCGGAGUGAAGAAAGAACCUUUAGUGGUUCGAGGAGAUAACUACACUUUACUCCAUUUGUACCGUCUGUAUAACGAGACGUUUUUGGAUAUUAGCAUAAAGUUUUGAACUUAUAAUACCUCACAAUAAUUAGAAUGGUUGGAAGAGGUGUUAUUUGCGCUAUGUAUAGCUGUUUUAAUUACAAGAUAUAAAGUGAUCGCGAGUCGUAUUACCGACACCCUAAAGACAAACAAGUAUGAAUUCAAUGCGUUAUUAAUAGUAGAAGGACUGAUUUAGACGAGAUUUUGAAAACGAAAGGACAGAAUAUUUAAAUAGAAAUUAUUUCAACCAUUUUACAGUGAAAUAUUGUAGAAACAAAAAUCUCUUAAGCCAAGGGAUCUGGACCGAUGAAGAACCCUCACAAUUAAUUUAUAAUGCCGAACAGACCACGAUGAGAACAGCCCCCAAAACAAGAAGACUAGAAGAACCUUCCAAUGUAGAUAUGCCAUAUAUCAUGUUUUGAUAUACAUGAUAUAUUUAUGUUCAAUGUGUUUUAUUUAAUGUAAAAAAUGUUUUAUUUUAAAAAAUUGUUUCAAUUUAAUAAAAUUACAUUAAAA